UACGGAGGAUCCGAGCGUUAUCCGGAUUUACUGGGCGUAAAGCGCGUGUAGGAGGCAAAUCAAGUUGGAUGUAAAAUCUCCCGGCUUAACUGGGAGGCGUCGUUCAAAACUGAUUAGCUAGAGUAGUGGAGAGGUAAUCGGAACUCAGGGAGUAGCGGUGAAAUGCGUAGAUAUCCGGAAGAACACCAGAGGCGAAAGCGGAUUACUGGCCACCAACUGACACUGAGACGCGAAAGCCAGGGUAGCAAAC
rnacentral:rRNA from 1 species